CUUAAGAUCGAAGAGAAUUUACAACGAGUGGUGAACCGAAGCUAAAAGCUAAAGCGAAGGGGCUACCUGCGUCGAAGCGUAAUCAGCGCAAUGGAGCCUCCUGGACAUCGUAACCGCCGCCUUCUUCGGCAUCGUCCUUCUCUUCUUCAUCCUCCUCUUCACUCCUCUCGGCGAUUUCGUGGCCGUCUCUGGUCGCCAAACGCCACUCCUCUCCGCCGCGACAGAUCCGAGGCAACGACAGCGUCUGGUGAAUCUGGUUGAGUCUGGUAUUUGCAGCCGAUCGAGUAUUGUCCCGCGGAUGACUCUUCCUCUUUCUGUAUAAGCCGAAGAAGCUAUCACGGUUAGGUCCAGAUUCAACCUCAUCCUUUUGAAAAGCUAGAAAAGAUGAAUUGAGACAGGGAAGAUUAUAAACACUAAUGAGGACAAUGGAAAACAGCUUAUAUAUGGGAAGCUUCUU